GACGAACGCUGGCGGCGUGCUUAACACAUGCAAGUCGAACGGAAAGGCCCUGCUUUUGUUGGUUGCUCGAGUGGCGAACGGGGGAGUAACACGUGAGUAACCUGCCCUUGACUUUCGGAUAACUUCAGGAAACUGGGGCUAAUACCGGAUAUGAGCUCCUGCUGCAUGGUGGGGGUUGGAAAGUUUCGGCCGUUGUGGAUGGACUCGCGGCUUAUCAGCUUGUUGGUGUGGUAGUGGCUUACCAAGGCUGUGACGGGUAGCCGGCCUUAGAGGGUGACCGGCCACAAUGGGACUGAGGGACGGCGCAGACGCGUACGGGAGGCAGCAGUGGGGAACAUUGCACAAUGGGCGGAAGUCUGAUGCAGAAGCGCCGCGUGCGGAAUGACGGCCUUCGGGUUGUAAACCGCUUUCGCCUGUGACGAAGCGGGAGUGACGGUAAUGGGUAAAGAAGCACCGGCUAACUACGUG
rnacentral:rRNA from 1 species